AUUGAACGCUGGCGGCAGGCCUAACACAUGCAAGUCGAGCGGAUGAAGGGAGCUUGCUCCUGGAUUCAGCGGCGGACGGGUGAGUAAUGCCUAGGAAUCUGCCUGGUAGUGGGGAUAACGUCCGGAAACGGGCGCUAAUACCGCAUACGUCCUGAGGGAGAAAGUGGGGGAUCUUCGGACCUCACGCUAUCAGAUGAGCCUAGGUCGGAUUAGCUAGUUGGUGGGGUAAAGGCCUACCAAGGCGACGAUCCGUAACUGGUCUGAGAGGAUGAUCAGUCACACUGGAACUGAGACACGGUCCAGACUCCUACGGGAGGCAGCAGUGGGGAAUAUUGGACAAUGGGCGAAAGCCUGAUCCAGCCAUGCCGCGUGUGUGAAGAAGGUCCUCGGAUUGUAAAGCACUUUAAGUUGGGAGGAAGGGCAGUAAGUUAAUACCUUGCUGUUUUGACGUUACCAACAGAAUAAGCACCGGCUAACUUCGUG
rnacentral:rRNA from 1 species